rnacentral:rRNA from 1 species
UACGAGGGGGGCGAGCGUUGUUCGGAAUUAUUGGGCGUAAAGGGGGCGUAGGCGGCCUGACAAGUCUGAUGUGAAAUCCCUGGGCUCAACCCAGGGCCUGCAUCGGAAACUGUCGGGCUUGAGUAUGGGAGAGGUGAGUGGAAUUUCCGGUGUAGCGGUGAAAUGCGUAGAUAUCGGAAGGAACACCUGUGGCGAAAGCGGCUCACUGGACCAUUACUGACGCUGAGGCACGAAAGCUAGGGGAGCAAACAGG